GGAGGAAAAGAAACCAACAGGGAUUGCCUCAGUAACGGCGAGUGAAGCGGCAAAAGCUCAAAUUUGAAAUCUGGAGCCUUCGGCUUCCGAGUUGUAAUUUGAAGAGGGUGUUUCGGGAGUAGCCUUGGCCCAAGUUCCUUGGAACAGGACGUCAUGGAGGGUGAGAAUCCCGUACAUGGCUGAAGGCUUUCUCUCAUGUGAAACCCCUUCGAAGAGUCGAGUUGUUUGGGAAUGCAGCUCAAAAUGGGUGGUAAAUUUCAUCUAAAGCUAAAUAUUGGCGGGAGACCGAUAGCGCACAAGUAGAGUGAUCGAAAGAUGAAAAGCACUUUGAAAAGAGAGUUAAACAGUACGUGAAAUUGUUGAAAGGGAAGCGCUUGCAAUCAGACUCGCUUUCGGUUGAUCAGCGACGCCUUCUGGCGCGUGCACUCUGCCGUUUGCGGGCCAGCAUCAGUUGGAGCGGUGGGACAAAGACGGCAGGAAUGUGGCUCCCCUCGGGGAGUGUUAUAGCCUGUCGUGCCAUGCCAUCAGCCCCGACUGAGGUCCGCGGUUCGCCUAGGAUGCUGGCUUAAUGGUUGUAAGCGACCCGUCUUGAAACACGGACCAAGGAGUCUAACAUCUAUGCGAGUCUUUGGGUGUCAAACCCAUGGGCGUAAUGAAAGUGAACGGAGGUGGGAGUCCUCGGACGCACCAUCGACCGAUCCUGAUGUUCUCGGAUGGAUUUGAGUAGGAGCAUAGCUGUUGGGACCCGAAAGAUGGUGAACUAUGCCUGAAUAGGGUGAAGCCAGAGGAAACUCUGGUGGAGGCUCGCAGCGGUUCUGACGUGCAAAUCGAUCGUCAAAUUUGGGUAUAGGGGCGAAAGACUAAUCGAACCAUCUAGUAGCUGGUUCCUGCCGAAG
rnacentral:rRNA from 1 species